rnacentral:rRNA from 1 species
GUGGGGAAUCUUGCGCAAUGGGCGAAAGCCUGACGCAGCCAUGCCGCGUGAAUGAUGAAGGUCUUAGGAUUGUAAAAUUCUUUCACCGGGGACGAUAAUGACGGUACCCGGAGAAGAAGCUCCGGCUAACUUCGUGCCAGCAGCCGCGGUAAUACGAAGGGGGCUAGCGUUGCUCGGAAUUACUGGGCGUAAAGGGCGCGUAGGCGGACAGCUUAGUCAGAGGUGAAAGCCCAGGGCUCAACCUUGGAAUUGCCUUUGAUACUGGAGGUCUUGAGUUUGGGAGAGGUGAGUGGAACUCCGAGUGUAGAGGUGAAAUUCGUAGAUAUUCGGAGGAACACCAGUGGCGAAGGCGGCUCACUGGACCGUUGUUGACGCUGAGGUGCGAAAGCGUGGGGAGCAAACAGGAUUAGAUACCCCAGUAGUCC